UUGGUUCAUCCUGGGCCGUCAUGGUUCUGAUCGUUCAUCGUCUGCUUAAAGCCGUCUCAGGCACUAAAACUCCCCGCUUGGACAGAAUCCCAGUUGCUGCUUCGGCUUUUUUUUUUUUCAGCAGCAGGAAAGCCUCACUCUUCGCCGUGACUCCCCGUGUUCACCGUUUCACAACGAGAGACAGUUCCUUUCCCAGAUCCCGCGAACGCAGACUUUUAUGGGAAUUCCUCAUACACUCCAUAUGGUCUUCAUGAAAUGUAGAGGAAGUUCAGCGCUGGAAAGAGGACUUUGCGUAAAAAUAGCACCUCAGUAGCAGCAGUUCCAUUAACCGUCAAAUUUUUUUUUCUCGAUGAUGUAACUGAGACCUGACAUGUGGAGCAAGAGGGGAAUCCUCCCCAGACACACAAUGGGCUUCCCCCCUACAGCUAACAAAGGCAAACAAUAACAGAAGGCGUAUCGCUGCGCACACGGUAACGUUAGAGCUUUGCUCGCUGAUCUUUUUGCUUUGUGCUGCAUGUGGUGAACAUGUUUUUGAAGAGGAUGUGCUUUCAAACAUAACAUCAUGUCUUCUCUCUUAUUUCUGGAUGUGAUUGAUUGUGCCUUUGAGGUAAAUCCAUGAUGGGAUUCCUGGUCCAGAGCAGAGUCCUAAGCGAUACCAGAAAUAUCCUGGAGCUGUUUCUGGGCUGCACCUUGGGAAAUACCUCUGGGUAGCUCAAAGAUUUCAUCGCCGAAGAUCUCUUCAGCUGCCACUUUGUUUCAGGUCACCGUAAAAUGAACAACAUGGACGACAGGAGCCUGCAGAACCACUGAGGACAUCCGGCAGGUCUCUACGCACUCCAAGAUCCUUCAUUUGUUGCUUGUUAAGUUAAACAAAGCACAUUGCAAUGUAUCAUGACCUAUUUAAUACUUUAAGUGCAAAAAGUGAAAACAAAAACAAAUAAUUUGCAAAAGAAGUAACAUUUAUUCUAAAUUCAGGAGAGCCACUGAGCUGUUUCAACAUUUUGAAUAUAUUUGUACUAAGAUUUUUCAAAACAGGGAAAUGAGACCUUUUGAUGAGGAUAACAGGAUGACUGGCAGCUCUGGGUGGACUUGCUAGUGAACACUUUUCGCAAGAAUCGAGGUCAAGCCCUCUGGCUUGGAUGAGGAACAACCGCCACAUGGACUCCAUCAGGAUGCGUCACUGUUGGAAGAACUCAGAACUGAUGCUCCUGCUGAAGGUCUGCCCUCAUGUCUGGCGUUCUGCAGGAAACAGAAGAGGUCCCCUGCAUGUGACCUGCAGCAGAGUCCAGGCAUGCCUUUGUUUGACCAAAGAACGAGUCUCGAGUAAUAAAAAGCAUUCGUGGCCUUUUUCAGGAAGGUGUUGAAAUGUGCUCUAAUGUCGCCGCACUUGUUAAAGUUUCGCUUUUAGAAUUUAAUAGUGAUAUUCCACUCUGGUUGUUCAAUCAAACUCUAAAUUGGUCUCACUCUCAUGUUUGCUUUUUUUGACAACUGCAGCUUAAGAAUUGCCGACAAGACCGACAAAUGCAGCGCUGCGAAAACAUAUUUCUCCCCUGUCGGACUCCUUCUGCUUUUGCUUUUAAUCUCAAUUAAAUGUUUCGGAUCAUCAAAAAUGACUCUAAUGUCAGAAAAGGAAAACCUGAGUAAAUACAAACCUGUUUUAAAUGAAGAUUUCUUUCAUUCAUUAAGAAGAAAAAGCUGUCUAAAUGAACCUGUAAAAAAUAACUGUUCCUGAAAUCUGAUACCUGGUUUAUUGGAUGGAAUGAUUGAUGAAGUGUAUCUCAAAGUGGAAAAAUGUACUUAAUUCAAUCACAACAGAGGGUUAUCAUACGUGAGCAACCUGACCACGAUGAGUCAAAGCAACUUUCAUGUGAAAGUUUGGAUUGACCAAAAAUAUAGAAAUUGUUUAAAAUGUCUUUGAAAAUACAGUAACU